rnacentral:sRNA from 1 species
GGAAGGAUCAUUAUCGAACAGAAUGUGAGAGGCAUGCGAGCGCUGUCGCUGACCCAAAAGUCGUGCACGCCCGAGUGUGUUCUCUCACAUGAUCAAUCCAUCUCACCCUUUUGUGCAUCACCGCGUGGGCACCCUUCGGGAUCGUCUCGGAGGGGGCUCGCGUUUUCACACAAAACCCCCCUUUUAAAAAAAGUGUAGAAUGACCUCAUUUAUGCGCUAACCCGCAAUCAAUACAACUUUCAACAACGGAUCUCUUGGCUCUCGCAUCGAUGAAGAACGCAGCGAAAUGCGAUACGUAAUGUGAAUUGCAGAAUUCAGUGAAUCAUCGAAUCUUUGAACGCACCUUGCGCCCCUUGGUAUUCCGAGGGGCACACCCGUUUGAGUGUCGUGAAAACCUCAACCUCCUUGGUUUCUUCUGGAGACCAAAGCAGGCUUGGACUUUGGAGGCCCUUUGCUGGCACCUCUCUUUUGAAGGCCAGCUCCUCUUAAAUGAAUUAGCAGGGUCCUCUUUGCUGAUCCUCGACGUGUGAUAAGAUGUUUCCAUGUCUUGGUUUCUGGCUCUGUCACCUUUGGGACCCGCUUCUAACCGUCUUGACCUUGCAUCGAGACAACGUUCGAGCAUGUCUCCCUUUCUCGGGAAGCUCCCUCGACCCCACGAACCCCUUGACCUCAAAUCGGGUGAGACUACCCGCUGAACUUAAGCAUAUC